rnacentral:misc_RNA from 1 species
GAAAUGCGAUAAGUAAUGUGAAUUGCAGAAUUCAGUGAAUCAUCGAAUCUUUGAACGCACCUUGCGCUCCUUGGUAUUCCUUGGAGCAUGCCUGUUUGAGUAUCAUGAAAUCUUCAAAGUAAAUCUUUUGUUAACUCAAUUGGUUCUACUUUGGUAUUGGAGGUCUUUGCAGCUUCACACCUGCUCCUCUUUGUUCAUUAGCUGGAUCUCAGUGUUAUGCUUGGUUCCACUCGGCGUGAUAAGUUAUCUAUCGCUGAGGACACUGUAAAGGGUGGCCAAGGUAAAUGCAGAUGAACCGCUUCUAAUAGUCCAUUGACUUGGACAAUACUUUUAUGAUCUGAUCUCAAAUCAGGUAGGACUACCCGCUGAACUUAAGC